rnacentral:rRNA from 1 species
GAUGAACGCUAGCGGGAGGCCUAACACAUGCAAGCCGAGCGGUAUUGUUUCUUCGGAAAUGAGAGAGCGGCGUACGGGUGCGUAACACGUGUGCAACCUGCCUUUAUCUGGGGGAUAGCCUUUCGAAAGGAAGAUUAAUACUCCAUAAUAUAUUGAACGGCAUCGUUUAAUAUUGAAAGCUCCGGCGGAUAGAGAUGGGCACGCGCAAGAUUAGCUAGUUGGUGAGGUAACGGCUCACCAAGGCGAUGAUCUUUAGGGGGCCUGAGAGGGUGAUCCCCCACACUGGUACUGAGACACGGACCAGACUCCUACGGGAGGCAGCAGUGAGGAAUAUUGGUCAAUGGGUGCAAGCCUGAACCAGCCAUCCCGUGUGAAGGACGACUGCCCUAUGGGUUGUAAACUUCUUUUGUAUAGGGAUAAACCUACCCUCGAGGGGGUAGCUGAAGGUACUAGACGAAUAAGCACCGGCUAACUCCGUG